UACGUAGGGUCCGAGCGUUGUCCGGAGUUACUGGGCGUAAAGCGCGCGCAGGCGGCGGUGUUGGCCCGGCGUGAAAGCCCCCGGCUCAACCGGGGAGAGUCGUCGGGGACCGCACCGCUUGAGGGCGGUAGGGGCUGGUAGAAUGCCUGGUGUAGUGGUGAAAUGCGUAGAGAUCAGGCAGAACACCUGGGGCGAAGGCGGCCAGCUGGGCCGUCCCUGACGCUGAGGCGCGAAGGCGUGGGGAGCGAACGGG
rnacentral:rRNA from 1 species